rnacentral:rRNA from 1 species
UCUGGCGGCAGUAGCGCGGUGGUCCCACCUGACCCCAUGCCGAACUCAGAAGUGAAACGCCGUAGCGCCGAUGGUAGUGUGGUGUCUCCCCAUGCGAGAGUAGGGAACUGCCAGAC